rnacentral:rRNA from 1 species
CAGUAGCCGCGGGAAUACGAAGGGUGCAAGCGUUACUCGGAAUUACUGGGCGUAAAGCGUGCGUAGGUGGUGGUUUAAGUCCGUUGUGAAAGCCCUGGGCUCAACCUGGGAAUUGCAGUGGAUACUGGGUCACUAGAGUGUGGUAGAGGAUAGUGGAAUUUCCGGUGUAGCAGUGAAAUGCGUAGAGAUCGGAAGGAACAUCUGUGGCGAAGGCGACUAUCUGGGCCAACACUGACACUGAGGCACGAAAGCGUGGGGAGCAAACAGGAUUAGAGACCCGUGUAGUCCCUGUCUCUUAUAC